UACGUAGGGUGCGAGCGUUGUCCGGAAUCACUGGGCGUAAAGGGCGCGUAGGCGGCGCGAGCAGUCGAUCGUGAAAGUCCGGAGCUCAACUCCGGAUCGGCGGUCGAUACUCUCGUGCUUGAGCACUGUAGAGGCAGAUGGAAUUCCGGGUGUAGCGGUGGAAUGCGUAGAGAUCCGGAAGAACACCGGUGGCGAAGGCGGUCUGCUGGGCAGUUGCUGACGCUGAUGCGCGACAGCGUGGGGAGCAAACAGG
rnacentral:rRNA from 1 species